UCUAGUACCCUCAUCGGUUUCUUCAUCAUUUUUUUCUUCUCCCCACCGCCAACAGCUCAUCCAUCACCCUCCUCUCCAUCUUCGUUUGUUCGCUGCAGUGGGUUGGCUGCUGAGUCUUUCUCCCUGUCAUCGUCCUCUGUUUCUUCCUUGCUUUGGGUCAGUAUGUGGGGCGUGGACUUCGUCUUCCUUUCUCCUCUCUGUCCGUUCGUAGCCGGCAACCAUGGGCGUGCCUUUCGUUGCUGUGGCGAUUUAUCAUUGUCACGAUCUCCUCUUCUUCCGCUUGUGCUCGCUUGAUCACAAGAUUAUUUGACGCAUCACUGAAGUGAGUGAGAAAUUGAGGAGGUUAAACUAUAGAAUUUUUGGAAACCCUCAGGGGGACUAAGUUCAGAACGUUGGAUGCUAACGGCAGUUCCGUUAGCCCUUGGCAUGCCAUGGUACACCUAGCUAGCAAGGUGCAUUGGAGGUGCUAGCCCCGUGCGAUAGCCAACGCAUAUGGAAUGGAGGGAUGAUUAUCAUGAGCACUGUACUCACGCUUGUUUUCAUAGGCCUCGUACCUGCGCUUGUUUUGUGGCUUUGAGCCAUGCUUAUUUGGUUACUUACCUUUAUAGACUAUGUAUCCAUACUUGAUUGGUUAUUUACUCUCGUGGACUGUGUAUCCACGCUUGUUGUUCAUUUUGAUAAAGCCCUCCUGGAUUUAAAUCAAAAUUUAUUAUUAUUUUUUUAUAAGUUCUCUAAAAGCAUUCUACAUAGCUGUAUCAUUACUUAAAAGUUUUAUAUUCUAUAAGUACUAUAAAUUUUGAUAAA